GGCCGGUUAGCACAAUUGGUAGUGUGUCUGACUACGAAGGUUGAAACCGAGUGAAUCAGGAGGUUGCGGGUUCGAGCCCCGUGCUGGUCA